rnacentral:lncRNA from 1 species
GAGCCCCUCGACAUUUUUCUACCCACCCGGCUGAGAGAAGACGGCCUCUCAGCUAGGAAUCUAGGACGCUGGCGGCUUUGCUGCUGACACGCGCGUCAUGUGUACAGACAGAGAGACUCACGAGGAUAGAGCGGUGCACUUUGGUGGUCAUGCUUGGACAGAUCGCAUUCAGUCGAGUGUCAGGGCCUCUGCCGGUUCUGACAAUACAGAGAGAAGAUGGCCCGGGAAAGCGGCAUGCAUCAACGCCGAGUACACUGAAGCGGGGGGUAGGGCUCCUCGCGCACUUGAAGAUGUGCUUUCGGUUGCACUUUAUGACGCAUAAAAGAAGACCACAAGCGAAGAAAGGAGAGAGACCACAGGGAAAUGGAAAGCCGCCGCAUGCACUUGUAAGGCAGCAAAACAGAGUGAGAAGCGAGGAGACAAGGUGGGAGAAAAACAAAGCGACCGCGACAGAGAGGCUAAGAGGCAAGACACAGAGUGUCGCGGUGAGAGCGUAUCGAAAGAUGCGGAGAGCCGAAAGCGUCUCAGAUUGACGAAUAAAUGGACAGCAAGGCUUUUGUCCUGCCGGUGAGACCAGCGAACAGAGCCGCCCCUUCUCGACUCAAAAAUAUGUCGAUCAGACGCUGGCGGGCGGUAGCAGCGAGCGACGCCCCUCCCAGCGUUGCCCCGGUGUGGAGAGUCUUGACAGAAACUCGGGCCAAGCAUGCAACUCAAGCGUGAACCCGUGUUGUGUUGACUGGAUUGAGAAAAGAUUAACUUGAGAAAAAUGCCGGAAUGCGGCAGAGAGAGGAGCCAUAUCAAUUUUCAUGGCUGUCCUCCGGAUUCGACGCCCCCCAGCAGCCGAUACACAAGACAGACCUCAAGUUCCGCGAGUCUCGUGCGGAGAGCGACGAGCGGUACAGCUGAAACCGGCUCUUCUCCGCAAGAACGGCGAAACGCAGAAUCUCUCCACCAGCGGAGCAGUGGAGAGAUUGGAAUUCGGAUCUUGGUGGAGGAAACGAACUGGGAGAAGACAAGCAGGGAAAACAGCCCGCCAGAGCGUCGUGGCUGCUGAGACACUGCGCAAAGCCGGGCCAGCGAAAAGAUGCUCGAGGGUGUCUUGCAAAGGCGGAGCGCGUCGUUCAUUGGAACUACCAGUGUUGCGAAAAAGCCGAACCGUCAGCUGUCGAAUCCUUCCACGGUGAAAACGCCGAUCACUCCGGUUUCGUUCAACUAUCGGUCAAGCAGGCUACGUCGAAAGCGAGAGCAACGCACUCCUGGGUUCCGGCAAAGUUGCUGGAACCCCAACAUGGCAGGAAAGAACCGUACCUGCUUGCAGUUCAUCCGGCGAAGCUUCUUCUCGUGCACGAGAAAAAAGUACGUGGACAAGGUUUUCCCGGUGUGAGAGAGCGAAAAACAGAGUGAAAAAAGAGGGCCGGCAGUCGUGGACGGAAGGGGUCGCCGCUACGAUUUGAGGGGCAAGGAGUGUGCUUCUCUGUGACGCAGAUUUUUGUUCCAUAUCGGUGCGUGGAAUAAAAGAGGAUACCAGGGACAGAGGAGCUUCAGCAGUCACGCUUGCUUUCUAUGGAACGGAAACCCCGGAAAUCUUGACCCUGGAACGCCGCCGGCGGAACCGGCAACAUUCUCGAAUGAAGAAAAUCCGUGUUUUUUUCCGGGGGCGGGGGAAGUGGCGAGGACGAUCUGCUCUUGACGGGUACCAGAGGAGCUUCGACAACUCACAGCCAGAUGGGAGAGGCAUUUGCUUGUGUCUUUCUUCCGAAGGCUCGCUCUCCCAUCUUCAAACGCUUGUUUUCAUGGGGAAAAACAAAUCCAUGGAAAGCCUAUUUCUGUCCUCGAGGCCCCAAGCGAGUCGCUUCGGUCUCUACUAACGCUUCCAUGUUGCAGUUCGGGUCUUUCACCUUUGUGCCAAUA